rnacentral:ncRNA from 1 species
UCCGAUAAAGGCAAACCAUGAGUGAUCGUGGGGCGCAAAGCAAAGGGUCUUUAAGCUCACACGGAUGUAGUUGAGGGACACCUUGAUGAUAAAAAGACAGCCUUACUGCCGAAG